rnacentral:rRNA from 1 species
CCUACGGGAGGCAGCAGUGAGGAAUAUUGGUCAAUGGGCUUACGCCUGAACCAGCCAAGUCGCGUGAGGGAAGAAUGCCCUAUGGGUUGUAAACCUCUUUUGUCAGGGAGCAACGCCGGCUACGUGUAGCCGGACUGAGAGUACCUGAAGAAAAAGCAUCGGCUAACUCCGUGCCAGCAGCCGCGGUAAUACGGAGGAUGCGAGCGUUAUCCGGAUUUAUUGGGUUUAAAGGGUGCGUAGGCGGAAUGCCAAGUCAGCGGUAAAAGCGCGGGGCUCAACCUCGCUCCGCCGUUGAAACUGGCGUUCUUGAGUGGGCGAGAAGUAUGCGGAAUGCGUGGUGUAGCGGUGAAAUGCAUAGAUAUCACGCAGAACUCCGAUUGCGAAGGCAGCAUACCGGCGCCCAACUGACGCUGAGGCACGAAAGCGUGGGUAUCGAACAGGAUUAGAUACCCCUGUAGUC